AUAAACGCAAUUCUCCAGAAUGGAAAUUGCGCUAAAAAGUUACUAGAUCUAGAUCUAGAUCUAGAAAUCUAGUAGUUGCGUUUAUUAACUCGUCAUUUCUGGGAAUGGAUGGAUGAAUGUAUGGAUGUGUGUCCGCAGCUUUAAGUUGUAUCUCCUCCUCAACGAAGCAAUAUCGAUGACUAGUUACAAAAACAAUUAUGUUAAGCAAGUUACGAGGAUGAACAUAGGCCAUAAAAAUUCCGGGUUUCUUUCAUGGAUUUCCCGGAAAAGCCAAAAAACCUCGGAAAAAUGCAGUUUUUGGCCCAUGUCUCGGCAACCAGACCACUUAGCGACUUGAAACAUGCACCAAUCGAUUCCUGCUAUAAUUUAGAACAAUAUUGCAGAAGAAAGUUUUCAAAAAUAUCCUUUCGUUUGGUCACAAAAUUUUUUUUGAAUUAAUUAAAAUUUGGACCGAAUUAGUAGGCAUUUUAUGCAACCACACCACACGCGUCAUCACGUUUUAUAGCUGUGCCAUCACGUUCAAUAUCUGCGACAUCACGCUCGAGCUAUUUUUAGAUAACCCUGUGUCAAGUUAGUGGAAAGGCGCUUAAGCCGCUGAGGCUAAGGUGACAGUGGCACAAACAGGUAGAGAGGACGAGCUAACACACACCAUUAUAUUACGUUAAUAACGUGGAUUAACAGUCGCACAAACAAGCGGGCUUAAAAUCCACACAUCUGACAUAUAGCUGACAGAUAACGUCAGAUAAGGUAAACCAACAUAUAGACAAGUCAU